UUAAUUCCUCUCCUGCCCUUGCCAAAACGAGGAAGGAUGAAGUAGUAAAGCCUCCACCCUAUUACUGAAUGCCUCAGCUGCGGCUCGCUCCCACCCAGGCGGUCCCACUCCCUCCUGAUGGACGACCAGGAGCCCCCAGGUUUUAUUACCCAGCCUGCAUAACAUCCAGCUUCCCCAGAUUAACUUCUGCAUGAAAUACUGCAGUGGAAACCUCCGAUGCAAAUGGAAUCAUGAGCAGACUAAAAUAAGGAGAAUUCAACACAAAACAAAGCACAGUUUAUAUCAGGAGAGGACUAAAUAUCAGGAGAGGACUAACUCUCUGGAAGGAGAGUAAGGAGGAAGGGCUUCUCAGAACAGCACAGCAGUAUCUCAUGCUACCCACUGAGCAGCUGCUUUGCUUAGGACAAAAUUCAAGUAUUUGGUGAAAAGCAAAAGGCUGUCCCUGUUGCAAAGGCUCAAGACAGCCCCUCGCAGCCCCGAGAAGACCUCUCCCUGCACCUUCUGCUAUGAAGCUCCCUGCCUGUAAAGGUCUGUCAGCCCCCACAGGUGGGACACAGCUCGCCCCCCCCCAAGGAGCAUCUUGCUGGAGGCACUUCAAGCAAGGCUUUCCUGCUCAGCACCUGUGACAUGUGCCCUCCUUUUCCAGAAACGUGGCCAAAAGAUAUCUCUGGAGAUGCCAAUAUCUCCUCUCUGCCUACAGAGGGAAUUUGCAGCUAGCAUCUUGGACUAGAUAUAUCACUUUGAUAUGACUGCAGAGAGAUGAGAUGAAUUUGGGUCAUAUCUUGCCACUUUUAAUUACUUUAUGACUGACAUAAGACUCACGUAGAGCACAAAGAUGAUUUCUGCUGGACUCCAUCAGCUGUGCAGAAACCUGUUGGAGGGACAGUGCCAAAGUCCAAGAGGAAUCCAGAUCUGAAAUACGGGACUUUUAUGAAAGGCAGAACCCGGAGUGAGAAAAGCUUUCAUUGCAACCCAUCCUGAUGCUAUCACACAACAAAGCAAGGCUUUUCCACCAGCGGCCCUUUGGACACCAUGCUUCCAGACACAGCGAGGAGAGCACCGCAGUGUCCAUCCAUGGGGAAAGCAUAGAGAAGGCAAUAGAAAAGCUGCAGGGAUGGCUCCCACCUGUCUGUGAUUACACAGAUCUAUUGCCUUUGGUGCUAAAGCAGUAGAGCAGCCUGAUGCACACCGGCAUCAGCAGCAUGAAGGGUGUCUGAGGUCAGGGUUUGUGUCUGGAGCUGCUCCUGGGCAGCACAGCCCCACGCUGGGCACAAAGCAGGGGUGAGAAUGAAUUUGGCGCAGACCUCUGCGACCCCCACCAGGAUGGCAAGUCCUUCACAGCACAAAAAACAUGAGGGAAAUCUCAAAUUCUUGGCUGGUGAUCAUCCCAAUCAUUUCUUGGGGAUUCCUGGUAUUGAGUGCUGUUCCUUUUCCAGAAGAUCACAAGAGCAGACUCGGGUCAUAAAAAAGUAAGGCCAGCAAAUAAAAUACUACAAGUAAUUCCAGGAAGAAUGACCUGAAAGUGUUGUUUUGAUGGACAAUUUUACACAAUUAAUUAUUUUCAUUUUCGUUUUUGUGAUUGCAAUGAAACAGGUACUAUAGAAUAAGAGCCCAGUCAAUGUAAUUAAGUGACACAGGCUCCCCAGGACAGUCAGGGCACCAAACCUGCCAAGUUCCAAGAUAUAUGGUUUAAUUUUUAGGUGGUCCUAUGUGGAGACCGGAGUUGGACUUGAUGAUUGUGGGACCCUUUCAGCUCGGGAUGUUCUACAGUUCUAUAA